rnacentral:rRNA from 1 species
CCUACGGGGGGCUGCAGUCGAGAAUCAUUCACAAUGGGGGAAACCCUGAUGGUGCGACGCCGCGUGGGGGAAUGAAGGUCUUCGGAUUGUAAACCCCUGUCAUGUGGGAGCAAAUUAAAAAGAUAGUACCACACGAGGAAGAGACGGCUAACUCUGUGCCAGCAGCCGCGGUAAUACAGAGGUCGCAAGCGUUGUUCGGAAUCACUGGGCGUAAAGCGUGCGUAGGCUGUUUCGUAAGUCGUGUGUGAAAGGCGCGGGCUCAACCCGCGGACGGCACAUGAUACUGCGAGGCUAGAGUAAUGGAGGGGGAACCGGAAUUCUCGGUGUAGCAGUGAAAUGCGUAGAUAUCGAGAAGAACACUCGUGGCGAAGGCGGGUUCCUGGACAUUAACUGACGCUGAGGCACGAAGGCCAGGGGAGCGAAAGGGAUUAGAUACCCUAGUAGUC